UGGUAGUACUAUCAAAACAAACCAAUAUAGUUUGGCAGCAUUCGUCUUAAUCAAAGGAACUUGUUUCAUAAUCGAUAAUCCUCGUUAAUUUUCUCUAACCACUCUAAAGCUUAUAUACCGCCGUUUUAAGAAUAUUUUAACAGAUUUUAUUCAGAAUUUCAUACAAAAUAAAUCAGGUCAAGGUGUAGCUCACAAGUUAGCAGAAAUAAGUUACUCUAAAAUUUAUUUAAGAAUGUUUAUAAAAAUAUUUAACUGAAAAAGAAUUUGAAAAUAAAAUCUCAUUAAUAUUUUUAUUUGAAUUAAUAAACAAAUGUGC
rnacentral:rRNA from 1 species